GUACCUUUUAAAGAACUAAUAAAAUCUGUUAUUAUCAGCUUAACAUCUGAAUUAUAUAAUAAUGUUAAUCUAAUUUUUGGAAAAUAAACGGAGAAUUCGGAACUUGCUCCUACUCCGUUGCGGGGUCGUCCCGGUACUGCAGUACCGCUGGGAAUGGCCCAAUAUCA